rnacentral:miRNA from 1 species
AUCUGUGUCAUUUUACACAGCGUGGGAAAGUUCUUUUGAUUUUCUCACGCUGUGUAAAAUGACACAGAG